rfam:Nocardia nova SH22a, complete genome.
UGGACCCGCCCUCUACUCGGAUCGUCCGGCACGUUCCUGCCGGUGAAGGGAUCGAUUC